UUGAGCUGAUUGACCGCGGCGACAUGCACCUGUCGCGUUAAACCGAGUCUUUUACUCGAACCGUCAGCGGCAGGUGUGCGAGUGCUAGGCUGGCGGCUUUAAAUAACAACAAUGGCGGUAAGCAAACACUUUUCAAUCGUUUCAAACCGCAAAAGUUGUUGUACUCGACGUCAAAGGAACCGCUUUCGGAGUUUUUUUUUCUUUUUAAUCCUUCUCUCGUGACCGGCGACGGCCGUACUUCAGCUCUCUCCUUCGUCCAAACGCGCCCAACAACGCCAGUAAAGUAGUCGUUUCUUCUGAGUCACUUUUUAGAAGAACAUUGACUGCUUGGUCAAAGUUUUGAGGCCGCGGGGACUCACCUUGGGACGCCGGAGGAGAUGCGUCGCUGCCAUCCCGGUCCGCCAUUUCUGCUGACGUCACCCGGAGAACCUGCCCGGAGGAGCCCGGCUCAACUCCCCGCCUCCCUCACCUCCCCGGUCGGACAGGUAAGAGGCGAAAGGCGCCCCUCCCCCGAAAGACUUUUAGACGGUCUACAACACUCGUCGUAAGUUACAAAACGGUCCCAACGGUCUUUCGUAUUUGAAAAUGUUCGAAUUAUAAGCAGCGCGCUUGGAAACUUUUUGAUAAAUUAUUUUGACAGUAUUAUUGUGACGCUGACAUCUAUGGGCACACACCCGGCAAUGCAUCUAGUUUAGUUUAGGGGGCGUGGUAUACGCAGGCUAGGUUGUGAUUGGCUGUUUAGCUGAGACCUUUUUUUUUUCUUCCCCCCAUUUAUAUUACACAUUAGAUUUGCACUCCCCUACCCUUUUAUUAAAUUGAAAUCAAAAUUAAUGUACUCUAAGACUCUUUUAACUCAACAAUGUUUCAUUAAAUAAAUGAUAAAAUGUAUAUGGACGCAAUAUUUAAAGGCAGUUUAGAUCCUUACUAACUACUACUUACAUAUUUGCCAUGCAUGUGUGACACCCACAAAAGAAAACACGAUAAAUGUGUUAUUUUCAGUGUUUUAUAUAUGUACACAUAUAUGUAGUUACAAGGGAGUUAGAACUGUGACAUUAAUCCUGCCUGCAAUGUCCAGUCAUGACAGUAGGGAGCAGUAUAAGCCUGUUGCUUUCAGAGUAACAUGCACUCGGGCCUAGUUACAUCCGGAAAAACGCCAUUUAAUAUUUUUAGAUGUUUCCUGCAACGGCAAGACGCUUCCUGUUGUCAAUCCAUUUGUGUCAUAUAUUUCAGGUUUACCCUCCUGUGAACCCUCCGCUGAUUGGCGGCGGCGAGACGGCAACCAUGGCAACCAGCCGUUGAGGCAAUUCGGGCCACGGAGCGAGCGGCAGCCGGGCGGGGGGAGGGAGCGGCCCGGCCCGGCCCGGCCCGCAGGUAUCGACGCCAGCCUUGGGAAACGUACGGCACCGGGGCCUUACGCUGUUCCUUAAGGUUAAAUCAUACCGGAUUCGUGUGCGAUAUCAAAGGAUCCGAUCAAGAACCGUUUCGUGGGAGGAAUACAUACGACUGGCGAUUGGACGACAGCUCUUCUCGUCACGUUCGCCACAAUGUCGAUUGUCGUCCAAAAAUGAACGCUAGUAAUGCUCUUUGCUCUUCUUUGAAUGAAGUAUUUUUCAGGACCUACUGUCAGGGGCGCCGUAUAGAAGUGAAAAGUGAUAUUGAUUCUAAGGGCCCAUGCCCUGAUGGGGCCAACAAAGAAAAUUUGAACAUUAGGUAAUCGUUAGCAAAUUUAAAUAUUAACCAUUAUCAUUUUAAUAGAGGUAAAACAAAGGGUUCCUUUCUCUUGUUUUGUUUUUGGCAAAAAGUAAACACCCAGAGAGCAUAUGUAUUGCCAGCCCCCCCCCAACCCCUGCAUUUUCAUUAAAUGGUUUGGUCCGCCCUUCCUUCGAUCAGGCCGGGAGCAGCAGUGCGCAUUUACACCAGUCAAUGACUCUGAGUGCGCGGUACUGCAUCAGGUUAUCAAAAGAGGAAAGAAAAGAAAGCUGAACAGCAGGAGAGGGGUAGAAAAGGCCAAGAGGAUGUGACAAAGUACUUCACAAAGGAAGGUUGAUGUCUUGUGUCUGUGUAGUGCUAAAAAAUGAACCUGUUAUCUUAGCCCACUCCAGCCCCAUCUGGAACCUCGCGAUGUCUAUUACAAAGCUCCGAAGCGAGGUCACAGCUCACUCCGUAAGAAAUACGGGAUUUUCCCGGCCUCAAUGAGCGAUAUUCACAGAUUCAAAAUUUCCUACAGAUGUUGAAAAUUGGUGUGAAAAUGUUCUUUUUUUUAAAUCAGCUUGAAUCCAGUUUGUCAAGAAUUUAUUAAAUUGAGUUUGUCAUCAAUUGAAUUAAGUUUGUUAACAAGGGACCUCGCUUCGGAGCUGUAGCCUAUUGUGGAGAUCGCGAGUUUCCAGAUGGGGCUAAGCCUACUCCAUAAUGAAAUACUGUAAUUGUUUGCUAGCUAAUGUUUGCUCCACUUUUAGCUUACAUUUAAUCAGUACAGCAGGCAAACCCUUAGCAAGCGCUUCAUACUAAAACAGUUGUAUACUGUAGUAUAGUUAAAACCAUUUAUUCUAAGUCAUUCAUUAUGGUAUUUGCUUUGACAAUAUUUCUAAUAAAAUAUAAUUAGAUUGUAAAAGAUGGUCUUCAGUACAUGUCUUAUAGAUGAUAUCAGUCUAUUUAUUUUUGCUCUAUACGCUGUAUGUUUACAUAGAUAUAUUUUCAUCUUAAUGCAGAAAAUGCACAAAUUAGUGUGUAAAGAUUCACCAGGAUGCAGGAAAUGACAUAGUUGAUACUCCAAAUGUGUGUGUGUGUGUGGGGGGGGUGUCCCGGCACUGGUGGUGGGGCCCAAAAUCCCUGGCAGCGCCCCUGGUACUGUAUAUACAAAAACUGCCACUGCCAGGUAGUCAGUUGUUCUUUUCUCUGAUUGGCUCGCCACAGGAAGGCGACCGAUCCACGUGAAGCCAUCGUAUAACUAGAACAGAAAUUAACCUCAUUUCUGUCCAAAAAAAGCUUCUCGUGACGUUUUUUUGCUCUUCUUUAAUCAAGGAACUGAACCCUACACACUGUAUCUCAUCCUCUUAAAAGCAGUCUCGUGUACCACCAAAGUGGUUUCUGGCCCUCCUUCGCCGCCGUCGUUUUUGUAUCCCAGUCCAUACAGCGUGGAGGCCUGUUGCCUGCUGUCCGCGAUUUCCAAACGCCUAUCUGUUGUUUUCAUCCCAUUUUUAUUCAUUCUUUGCUCGAUUUCUAUUUUGUGAGAGAGGGGCACUCAGUCUUCUCGUCGGGCUGGGAUUGUGUUCAAAAUGGCAUCUGCGCCGCUCCGUUCUCAGGGGAUUUCUUUGCACUUGUGCGCGCGAAGGGCUUAGACGGUGCAUACGAGCUGUCGAGCGGCCGACCUCGUCACGCUCGACCUAGGGCCGCGCACGCGGGUUACAGACGGAAAGCCGUAUGACCACAAACUAGCCUUUUCGUCGCUGUCACGGCUUUGGCACUUUUAAAUAGGCCAUUUGCACGCGCGUCGACCACGGGGGUGCGCGCGCAGGAAUACAUUUCUAGGCAAGGGCGUAGGUUUGGUCUCAACAUUGGUAGGGACAGUAUAACAGCAUAACCUGCAUGUACACUUUUUGCUCGGGAUGGGACAUUAAUAAGACCAAACAGAUCGGGUGAACCGGUGUCAGGGCUACAUUUUAGACAAAUAUGAACCAAAUUAAUUGAUAUGCCAAAUCAGGGUGUGCUCAUUACGUCGAUCGCAACGCUAGUGUGGGUAGCUCGCAUUGUCCCCCCCCAAUUUUUUUUUUUUUUUUUUUUUUAAAUGUACAGUGGGGAGAACAAGUAUUUGAUACACUGCCAAAGGGAAAAACCAUUAGUUAAUUAUGAUUGUUGUGUGUAUGUUGUGUUGUGUGAUUAACAUUAUGGCUGUCAAACGAUUACAAUUUUUAAUUGAGUUAAUCACAGCUUAAAAAUUAAUUAAUCGCAAUUCAAAUCAUCUAUAAAAUAUGCCAUAUUUUUCUGUAAAUUGUUGGAUUGGAAAGAUAAGACACAAGACAGAUAUAUACAUUCAACAUACUUUACAUACUGUAAGUAUUGCAUUUGUUUAUUAUAACAAUAAAUCAACAAUAUGGCAUUAACAUUAUUAACAUUCUGUUAAAGCGAUCCAUGGAUAGAAAGACUUGUAGUUCUUAAAAGAUAAAUGUUAGUACAAGUUAUAGAAAUUUUAUAUUAGAACCCCCUCUUAAUGUUUUCAUUUUAAUAAAAUUUGUAAAAUUUUCAAAAAAAUAAACUAGUAGCUCGCCAUGUUGAUGUCAAUAAUUACACAAUGCUCAUGGUGCUGAAACCCAUCAAAUCAGUCGCAUCAAAGCGCCAGCAGAGGGCAACAAAACACCCAAAAACACAAGUAAAAAGUGGACAUGACACUGUGCCAUCAUUUUAAUCUGUUUGAGCGGGGCAUGUGCCUUAAAUGCGUCAAAUAUUUUAACGUGAUAAAUUUUAAAAAUUACCGUCCGUUAACGCGAUAAUUUUGACAGCCCUAAUUAACAUAUGAGGUUAUGCAGCACCCGUCUCUCUCUAAGCAGCUUUUUUGCUUCAUAGUCAAGCAGUUCUAGUUGUUUUGUUUCCACCAGAGUUCACUACAUUUCUCACAGUUUAAUUAACGUUAACUGUAGAAAACACUAACAGAAGGACAAUUCUCUCCAAGCAGCUUCCUACUCAAGUUUUGCAUGUUAGCAAGUUCACACAGUUUAAUGUUAUGCUAAUUCUGAUCCAGAUCAGACUUUCAGUAGCAAAAUUAGUGGUGUGUUCCCCACCUCCAAAACAUUGGCGUCGUUUUAAAUGACUUGCACUGGCUGCUGCUGUCCGAAAAAAAAAAGUUCUAAUAUCCCUCCUCUUCAAAGGGGGUGGAGGAGGUGGCAUGUUUUUUGACAUUUAUUUCUAUUGGGGUUGUGUGAGUGUGCGUGUGUGUGUCGGUGGUGGGUCAAGUCAUCAGCCAAUGAAACGUGCGUUAAAGGUGGGGAAAAAUGGAGCGGCACAUUCAGCAAGUGAAAUGGGGUAAAUGUAAGUUUGAAAUAGUUCACUUAAUAAUGGUAGGGUCAAUUCUAUCCUUACAACAUAUGGGAAGACAAUCUAUAACUGAACUCAUUAUAUCAUGCAUAUAAGGCUGCUUAAAAUUUGGUAGGGACAAUUUGAGCAUCCUGAAAAGUUGCUAGUGUUAUGUCCUUACCGUCCCUAUGCAAACCUACGCCGUUGCUCCUAGGGUAUCAAUAAAGUCACGCCGUCUGUCGACACAGUGUUUUAAUGAAUGCGCACAUGAAAGGGACACUCACCUCUGUUGGUUUGUAACAGUCUAUUAAGGACUCCUAAACAGGGAAGGAAAAAAAAGGUGUUAAUUUGCAUUCAACCUUCAUUUCAGUCUUUUGUCUAAAAAAUGGAGAAUGUAUGCCUCUUGUACUUGAGUUUUUCCUUCUUAGAAGAAAAACGGAAACCUUUCUUUUGACCCCUAAAAUUUGCAUUCACUUGUACUGAUUUACAACUCGGACCUGCCGCGCAAAAUCUCUAUUGGUGGUCAUUAUUUCGUGGGUUCCCCAAAAUGAACAAGAUGCCCCAGAAUCAUCGAAAAGUGACCCCAAAAGAAGUGGCUGGGGAAGAUAACGGGAAAUGCGCUAAAAUCAACACAAAAACGUAAAGGAAGUGACCCCGCAAUCCCCCAAAAUGUACAGGAAGUGACCUAAAAGGAAGUCACCCACAAUAAAUUCGUUGGCCAUCUAACCUUGCCAUAGACAUCCAAUUCAUUGUAACUGGGAGGAAUGCUCACGGCGGCACAUUUUUUACCUAACCCGGUCAAAAUGAAUCGGAUGUCUAGCGCCGUCAUUGGCAGCCGGCGAGUUGAUAAGGAAGUGACAACGCACCUGCAGUUUGACGGCUCUCUCGUCGUCGCCGUCUACCUCCAAAAGGUCAUCGAUGUCGAUCUCCACUUCGGGCAUCUCCUCCUCCUGUGACAAAUUGCAUCAAUUAGUCUCAUUGUUCAUUUUUCUUGCCGUUUGAUUGGAAAAGCGCUCGACAAAUUGAACAUUUGACACACGACCAUUAGGGUCGAGCGUCGACGGGACCCGGUUCCAACACUCCGAUGCUCCCGGAACUGUUCCAAUUUUUAAAUUUCGAUUCCGUGUUUUGAUGCCCUGACCGCCGAGCGGAAAAAAACUGAAGAAGAAGCGUGUUUGAGAAUUGUGACUUGAUUACAACCAUGGACACGGUGCGGCGGCGCUCAAAAGUUUGGCUCAACUUUACCAAAAAAAAGAACACUAGUCAGCUCAGUGCAACACUUGCAACAAAACUAUAUCACGCAAAGGUGGCUGGACGACCAAUAUCAUUAAACACCUCCGCCUUCACGUAUUUGACAUGCUGCGCCAUCAGAACCAGGUAAGUAAAACGAUACAUUACGUCUGUCUUUUGCGACCCGACUCCGGAUUAAGCAGUAGAUGAUGGAUGGAAUAGUACGAGAAUAAAUGGUAUUUUUAUGUCGGGCUAUGGUCGAUAUCACAUGUAUAUAGAACUAGAAGCGAAAUGACAGUCGCCAGCAUUCGUAAACAUCUUAAAGCAGUAGACGCCCAAAGCGAACUCAUCUGUUGCUUGAUCUCGUCUCGUGAGACGAAUUUGAUCAUCUCAAAUUGAUCUCACUCAAUGUUUCCGAGUUUGUGCUCCUAAGGGCACCCUUAGGAGCAAAUAAUGAGUCAAAAUGAGCGAAGACAUCAUUGAGACAAAGGACAUUGAUUUGCGAAAACCAGAUUGAAGCAAUAAUUGAGAAAUGUUCUUCAUUGAAAAUGGACUUAUAUUUGUAUAGGAGCGUUCAGGCACUCAAAGCAGUUUGAUACUAUAUCCUCAUCUACCUGCUGGUGACACAGCAACAUGGGGUUCAGUGUCUUGCUCAAGGAUACUCAGAUGAAUUCAUCAAGAGGGAGAAUUGAACUCACAACUUCUGGGUUGAGGAACGAGUUCUCUACCACUGAGCCACGCACAGGCUCAGAUGCAGUGCACUCGAUGUGACGCGACACAUCAAUGGAAAGCAACUUCAGAAAGCGCGUGUAGCAGCAAUGAAGCAAAUUUAUUUUAUUUUGCUUCAUUUAAUAAUGUAUAUAUUUCUUUGAUACUUUGAAAACCUUCCAAAUCGCAGACAUGUUGCCUGUGAGCCAGUAGUUUUAGUGAGACAGCGUCAGCCUGUUUUGAUUACUUCUUCAAACAAGACGACUAAGGUUCUUUGUACUGCAGUAUUUUGCGGUAAACUUUCGGUCUUCAAAACCAAAAAACGAUAAUGCAUUUGUAGCGGCCGAUAGUUUGUGGCACCAAAUUUUUGGUCUCAUCUCUAAUUUUUACAUUACACAAGAUGAACCAGAUGUUAUUUUUAUUAUUUGACCGAUUAUAUAAUUUUCUCAGAUUUAGGCACGAGAUGAAUUAAGAUGUGAUUGAAUAUGUCAGAGCAGUUACUACUAUUUUUAAAAUGAAAGAAUCUUGAAAACCAAAAGUGAGCAAUUGCACACUGGAAGGAGAUCAAAUUGAGAAAUAUUGAUGACUGACACAAUAUAGGAUUGCUUGGCGAAAUCAGUAAAAGGCAGCUUUGAGGCGAGUUUAAGAAAUAAAAUACUUUGCUCACCCAUAUCUUCCCAGACCUUGUUUUGUUGGCAAAAGGGGGUUGUACAAAGUAUUAACACCAGGGGUGCCAAUAAUUGUGACACACAUUAUUUGAUGUCAAAUAAUUUUUUCUUUAUGUGGGAUUUUUUUCCCCACUGAAUGAAUGCACUUGUAUUGAAGGUUGGAUUUUUAUCUUUUUUUCCGUUAAGGUCCCAUAUUAUUUGAAUCCAAAAAAAAAAUUAUUAGAAGCUAAAAACACAUCUUUUUCAGGGGUGCCAAUAAUUAUGGAGGGCACUGUAAUUGAGACACAUUUAUUUGAGAUCGACACAAGUACUCAUAGUUGUCUCUUGGUGAGAUCUUAAAAGGAGACAACUGUGAGACUUUAUUAAGAAAUUGUGCCAGUUGAGCUAUUCUCAAGUCCUUCUCAUGUAAUGCUCACUAUGAGACUUACUUUUCAUGAGACAAAUUUGAGAAAACCACUCAGGUCUCGAUUAUUGCCGAUUCAUUUCUCAGAGAUGUAAAUGAGACAUGAACAAAAUCUCAUCUUCAAUUUUGCUAUGGGCGCCUCCGUUAAAAUCAAAAGUAUUAAAAGAUCUUCAAAUUAUAAUCAAUAAAAGAAUUGAUACUAAUGCUUAGUAGUAGCUCCCAGCUAAGGUACAUGUAUGGCAAAAGAAUAUGCGUCUUCUCCCUGAGCUUUUGAAAAAUAAACCUCUUUGUGAAAGCGCACGCCUGUCACAUUCAAGUUCAAAGACUGAUAUUUAUAUACAAGCUAAAAAUAGCCCUGUGAGAAGAUCAUAUCAUUCAUAAAUUUCAAAUAGUAAUGAUAAAAAUAAUCAUUAAUUUUAAAGUCAUAUAUUUUUCCAAAAAUAAAUCGAGUAGUUAAAACAUGAAUAUAAACUCAUACAUUUUAUACUAUACAUUUUUUGACCCUGCCUCUUAAAAAAAAUCGGCAUCGAGAAUCCUUCGGAACCGGACGUGGAAUCGGAAUUGCCUUACCGACGAUCGCUUGCCAAUCCGCUUUCACAUACAAGAGUGAUUUACGACUUGGGUUAUCACAAACGCAAGUCUUCGUGGCUAUUGCCGAGCAAAACUCCCAUCUCCAAUUUAAAAGUCCUAUAUCUGGUUGGGUUGUCAAAACCAUUAUAUUGAUUGGAUAUGUGUUAUGGAAGUUAGUAAGCACCUAUUUCAAUGGUUAAUCAAGCUGAUUUAUUUAUAUUAAAAAUGUAUUUCAAUAUUUUGACAUUUUUAUCUGUUGUGGUUAGCCAUCGAAACAUCGUCCCUCCCAGUCAAAAUAGAUUGGACGUCUAUUCCCGUCAAUGGCUAGCCUGGAACUUCAGACUCACUUCCAGACUUCCAGCUAUAGAGUCUGGAACCAAAUAGUCCGUGCAAUCGGAUUCGUUUAUUUGCGUGACGUGUUCUUAAUGAGCAACGUCACUCUUGUGCGUCAGAAGUCGUCUCCACAACAACACAGAUGGCGAACGAGAGAGCUGAGAAUAUACGCGGAAAAUUCAGUUUUAAAUGACCAAAAUAGGGCGGCAGCUAUCGAUUAUUUUAGUAGUCGAAUAAUUGAUGAACUAGUUAGUUCGAAUAAUCGGAGAAGGAAAAUUAAAUACCUGAGUUGAGCCUCAAACGGUUUGGAAAUAUAAAGUAAAUGAGGAUCUAUAUACAACAAAAGAACAAUUGGCUAACUUACAUAGCAAAAGUCCGCUUUCUUAAAUGCUAUGAAAUGCUAACUUUUUUUUUAAAUUAUUUUUUACAAUGCUCUUAACAAACGGUUCAGACACCUAUUUCCACAAAAAAAAAAAACGGCUAAAUAUACCUAUAAACUAAUUUACGAAUGCAUUAAAAAAACAUUAGCGCCGAAUCCCCGCUCGAACUUGUCGCGUCGACGGGAAUCGCCCGCUGCCGGCCGGUGCGCUGAUGCGUCGAAAAUCGG